AUAGCGUAUAUUAAAGUUGUUGCAGUUAAAAAGCUCGUAGUUGGAUUUGUGGCUGGUCACAGUGGCGUGCCCUACUGGGUUAUGCUGUUUGUGUCUGCCAUCUUUGGGUGGAAUCUAGGUGGCAUUAGGUUGUCGUCUGGGGGAUGCCCAUCGUUUACUGUGAAAAAAUUAGAGUGUUCAAAGCAGGCUUAUGCCGUUGAAUAUGUUAGCAUGGAAUAAUGAUAUAGGACCUUGGUACUAUUUUGUUGGUUUGCGCACUGAGGUAAUGAUUAAUAGGGACAGUUGGGGGUAUUCGUAUUCCAUUGUCAGAGGUGAAAUUCUUGGAUUUUUGGAAGACGAACUACUGCGAAAGCAUUUACCAAGGAUGUUUUC
rnacentral:rRNA from 1 species